rnacentral:rRNA from 1 species
GACGAACGCUGGCGGCGUGCUUAACACAUGCAAGUCGAACGGAAAGGCGCGGCGUUUGUGGGGUGCUCGAGUGGCGAACGGGGGAGUAACACGUGAGUAACCUGCCCUUGACUUUGGGAUAACUUCAGGAAACUGGGGCGAAUACCGGGUAGGAGCUCCUGCUGCAUGGGGGGGGUUGGAAAGAGACGGCGGUGGUGGAUGGACUCGCGGCUUAUCAGCUGGAUGGGGGGGUAGUGGCAUACCAAGGCUUUGAAGGGUAGCCGGCCUGAGAGGGUGACCGGCCACCUUGGGCCUGCGAUACGGCCCAGACUCCUACGGGAGGCAGCAGGGGGGAACCUUGCGCAAUGGGCGGAAGCCUGAUGCAGCAACGCCGCGUGCGGGAUGACGGCCUUCGGGGUGUAAACCGCUUUCGCCUGUGACGAAGCGUGCGUGACGGUAAUGGGUAAAGAAGCACCGGCUAACUACGUG